rnacentral:tRNA from 1 species
CCGGCGGCCGGUACGGGGCCCGCCGGCCGGUGUCCGGCGCCGGCAGCGCACGGCGGUCCAGCUUGCCGUUCGGCGUCAGCGGCAGCCGGUCCA